UACGAAGGGUGCAAACGUUGCUCGGAAUUAUUGCGCGUAAAGCGCACGUAGGCGGCUUUGCAAGUCCCAUGUGAAAUCCCACGGCUUAACCGUGGAAGUGCAUGGGAAACUGCAGAGCUUGAGUACUUAAGAGGAUCGCGGAAUUCCCGGUGUAGAGGUGAAAUUCGUAGAUAUCGGGAGGAACACCAGUGGCGAAGGCGGCGAUCUGGGAAGGUACUGACGCUGAGACGCGAAAGCGUGGGGAGCGAACAGG
rnacentral:rRNA from 1 species